AAGGAAUAUUGGACAAUGGUCGGAAGACUGAUCCAGCCAUGCCGCGUGAAGGACGAAGGCGCUCAGCGUUGUAAACUUCUUUUGGAUGGGAAUAAUAAUGUCGAUGAGUCGGCACUUGAAGGUACCAUCAGAAUAAGCACCGGCUAACUCCGUGCCAGCAGCCGCGGUAAUACGGAGGGUGCGAGCGUUAUCCGGAAUCACUGGGUUUAAAGGGUGCGUAGGCGGCGAGGUAAGUCAGUUGUGAAAUACCCCGGCUCAACCGGCGGGACUGCGAUUGAUACUGCUUUGCUUGAAACAGGUUGAGGUAAGCGGAAUGUGGCAUGUAGCGGUGAAAUGCAUAGAUAUGCCAUAGAACACCGAUUGCGAAGGCAGCUUGCUGGGCCUGAUUUGACGCUGAGGCACGAAAGCGUGGGGAGCAAAC
rnacentral:rRNA from 1 species